AUACAACCCAUAUUUAUUAUGAUUUAUUUUCUCUUUUGCAUAUCGUUACAGAAACUGUAUAUAGCCAUAUUAUGACAUUUGUAAUGCCUCCCAUUCCUUUAGAAGUUUUGUGAGAGAGUGACAGAGAUAGAGAGAGUCUAGACAGAGGGAGAGGUGACAAAAAUAAAGAUUAAGAGUGAGAAAGAGACAAUAUGACAUUUGUAAUGUCUUUAUUGUUUUGAAACUGCUGUAUGUGUAAAGUUUACUGUUAAUUUGUAUUAUUUAUUUCACUUUAUAUAUUAUCUACCUCACUUGCUUUGGCAAUGUUAACACAUGUUUCCCAUGCCAAUAAAGCCCUUGAAUUGAAUUGACAGAGACAUAUAGAGGGACAGAGACAGAGAGAGGUUGUGUGUGAUUGUGUUGAGUGAGAAAGAGACAGAGACAUAUAGAGGGACAGAGACAGAGAGAGGUUGUGUGUGAUUGUGUUGAGUGAGAAAGAGACAGAGACAGAGAGAGGUUGUGUGUGAUUGUGUUGAGUGAGAAAGAGACAGAGACAUAUAGAGGGACAGAGACAGAGAGAGGUUGUGUGUGAUUGUGUUGAGUGAGAAAGAGACAGAGACAGAGAGAGGUUGUGUGUGAUUGUGUUGAGUGAGAAAGAGACAGAGACAGAGAGAGGUUGUGUGUGAUUGUGUUGAGUGAGAAAGAGACAGAGACAGAGAGAGGUUGUGUGUGAUUGUGUUGAGUGAGAAAGAGACAGAGACAGAGAGAGGUUGUGUGUGAUUGUGUUGAGUGAGAAAGAGACAGAGACAGAGAGAGGUUGUGUGUGAUUGUGUUGAGUGAGAAAGAGACAGAGACAGAGAGAGGUUGUGUGUGAUUGUGUUGAGUGAGAAAGAGACAGAGACAGAGAGAGGUUGUUUGUGAUUGUGUUGAGUGAGAAAGAGACAGAGAGAGGUUGUGUGUGAUUGUGUUGAGUGAGAAAGAGACAGAGACAGAGAGAGGUUGUGUGUGACUGUGUUGAGUGAGAAAGAGACAGAGACAGAGAGAGGUUGUUUGUGAUUGUGUUGAGUGAGAAAGAGACAGAGAGAGGUUGUGUGUGAUUGUGUGCUGAUCUGUUCUCUGAGAAUGUUGACUAUUAAUAACAUCAGAGGCGGCCAUAUUGAGCACAAUAAAGUCGGCAGCUUUAUUGUUGUCAUUCAAAUCUAAUCUCUUAUGCAAGGAGAAGAAGAAGAAUAUAGUGUAUAUUAGCUAUGUCUAUCACUCUCUCUUUCUCUCUGCAGAACAAUGUCACACAACUUUACUAGACACAUAACUUUCUCACAGGCUGCAUGAGAUUCAGUCCUUCUGUAACUCAACAGCUACUUUCUUAUCUCCCGCUCGGAUUGUUUUUGUCCUGAUAGCCUACAAUGCUCCCUUUCUCUCUGCUCUCUCCUUAGACAGGUAUAAUGGUGUCAUUCAUUCAAUAGGACUCAAUUUGCUUCUUUACUCGCAGACCAGAAGUCUCUACCUGAAUAGUAAAUAAACAAAAAUUUGACCAACUGGGGACAUUUUAUUAGUCCCCACAAGGUCAAUUGCUAUUUCUAGGGGGUUUAGGGUUAGAAUUAGUGUUAGGGUUAG